rnacentral:rRNA from 1 species
CCUACGGGAGGCAGCAGUGGGGGAUAUUGCACAAUGGGCGGAACCCUGAUGCAGCGACGCCGCGUGAGCGAUGGAGUACUUCGGUACGUAAAGCUCUGUCAGCAGGGAAGAAAAUGACGGUACCUGACCAAGAAGCCCCGGCUAAAUACUUGCCAGCAGCCGCGGUAAUACGUAUGGGGCAAGCGUUAUCCGGAUUUAUUGGGUUUAAAGGUUGCGCAGGCGGAUUUUUAAGUCAGCGGUCAAAUCGUGGGGCUAAACCCCAUCCAGCCGUUGAAACUGGGGAUCUAGAGUGUGCGAGAGGUAAGCGGAAUGCGAGGUGUAGCGGUGAAAUGCAUAGAUAUCACGCAGAACCCCGAUUGCGAAGGCAGCAUACCGGUGCACAACUGACGCUCAGGCACGAAAGCGUGGGUAUCGAACAGGAUUAGAUACCCGUGUAGUC